rnacentral:rRNA from 1 species
CACGUAGGGUGCGAGCGUUGUCCGGAAUUAUUGGGCGUAAAGAGCUCGUAGGCGGUUUGUCGCGUCGUCUGUGAAAACCCACGGCUCAACUGUGGGCUUGCAGUCGAUACGGGCAGGCUAGAGUUCGGUAGGGGAGACUGGAAUUCCUGGUGUAGCGGUGAAAUGCGCAGAUAUCAGGAGGAACACCGGUGGCGAAGGCGGGUCUCUGGGCCGAUACUGACGCUGAGGAGCGAAAGCGUGGGGAGCGAACAGG